rnacentral:rRNA from 1 species
UGGGGAAUAUUGGACAAUGGGGGCAACCCUGAUCCAGCCAUGCCGCGUGGGUGAAGAAGGCCUUAGGGUUGUAAAUCCCUUUCAGCGGGGAAGAUGAUGACGGUACCCGCAGAAGAAGCCCCGGCUAACUCCGUGCCAGCAGCCGCGGUAAUACGGAGGGUGCAAGCGUUGUCCGGAUUUAUUGGGUUUAAAGGGUACGUAGGCGGAUUUUUAAGUCCGUGGUGAAAGCCUACAGCUUAACUGUAGAACUGCCAUGGAUACUGGAAAUCUUGAAUUCAGUUGAGGUAAGCGGAAUUUAUGAUGUAGCGGUGAAAUGCAUAGAUAUCAUAAAGAACACCUAUUGCGAAGGCAGCUUGCUGGACUUGAAUUGACGCUGAGGUACGAAUGCGUGGGGAGCGAACAGGAUUAGAUACCCGCGUAGUCC